rnacentral:rRNA from 1 species
CAGCAGUGGGGAAUAUUGCACAAUGGGGGAAACCCUGAUGCAGCGACGCCGCGUGAGCGAAGAAGUAUUUCGGUAUGUAAAGCUCUAUCAGCAGGGAAGAAAAUGACGGUACCUGACUAAGAAGCCCCGGCUAACUACGUGCCAGCAGCCGCGGUAAUACGUAGGGGGCAAGCGUUAUCCGGAUUUACUGGGUGUAAAGGGAGCGUAGACGGCAAGGCAAGUCUGAUGUGAAAACCCAGGGCUUAACCCUGGGACUGCAUUGGAAACUGUCUGGCUCGAGUGCCGGAGAGGUAAGCGGAAUUCCUAGUGUAGCGGUGAAAUGCGUAGAUAUUAGGAGGAACACCAGUGGCGAAGGCGGCUUACUGGACGGUAACUGACGUUGAGGCUCGAAAGCGUGGGGAGCAAACAGGAUUAGAUACCCUGGUAGUCCACGCCGUAAACGAUGUCGACUUGGAGGUUGUGCCCUUGAGGCGUGGCUUCCGGAGCUAACGCGUUAAGUCGACCGCCUGGGGAGUACGGCCGCAAGGUUAAAACUCAAAUGAAUUGACGGGGGCCCGCACAAGCGGUGGAGCAUGUGGUUUAAUUCGAUGCAACGCGAAGAACCUUACCUGGUCUUGACAUCCACGGAAGUUUUCAGAGAUGAGAAUGUGCCUUCGGGAACCGUGAGACAGGUGCUGCAUGGCUGUCGUCAGCUCGUGUUGUGAAAUGUUGGGUUAAGUCCCGCAACGAGCGCAACCCUUAUCCUUUGUUGCCAGCGGUCCGGCCGGGAACUCAAAGGAGACUGCCAGUGAUAAACUGGAGGAAGGUGGGGAUGACGUCAAGUCAUCAUGGCCCUUACGAGUAGGGCUACACACGUGCUACAAUGGCAUAUACAAAGAGAAGCGACCUCGCGAGAGCAAGCGGACCUCAUAAAGUAUGUCGUAGUCCGGAUUGGAGUCUGCAACUCGACUCCAUGAAGUCGGAAUCGCUAGUAAUCGUGGAUCAGCAUGCCACGGUGAAUACGUUCCCGGGCCUUGUACACACCGCCCGUCACACCAUGAGAGCCGGGGGGACCCGAAGUCGGUAGUCUAACCGCAAGGAGGACGCCGCCGAAGGUAAAACUGGUGAUUGGGGUGAAGUCGUAACAAGGUAGCCGUA